rnacentral:rRNA from 1 species
AAGGCUCAGUAACACGUGGAUAACCUGCCCAAGGGUUCGGGAUAACCCCGGGAAACUGGGGAUAAUACCGGAUGGAUCACUAGUGCUGGAAUGCUUGGUGGUUUAAAGGUAACGCCUUUGGAUGGGUCUGCGGCGGAUUAGGUUGACGCCGGUGUAACGUACCGGCGUGCCUGUAAUCCGUACGGGUUGUGGGAGCAAGAGCCCGGAGAUGGAUUCUGAGACACGAAUCCAGGCCCUACGGGGCGCAGCAGGCGCGAAAACUCUACAAUGCAGGCAACUGCGAUAGGGGGACAUCGAGUGGCAUCCACCUUGGGUGCCUGUCCAACCGUCUAAAAAACGGUUGUUAGCAAGGGCCGGGUAAGACCGGUGCCAGCCGCCGCGGUAAUACCGGCGGCUCGAGUGGUGGCCGAUAUUAUUGAGUCUAAAGGGUCCGUAGCCGGCUUUGCAAGUCCCCUGGGAAAUCCAGCGGCUUAACCGUUGGGCUUUCAUGGGAUACUACAUUGCUUGGGACUGGGAGAGGUAGGAGGUACUCGGGGGGUAGGGGUGAAAUCCUGUAAUCCUCCGGGGACCACCGGUGGCGAAGGCGUCCUACCAGAACAGGUCCGACGGUGAGGGACGAAAGCUAGGGGCACGAACCGGAUUAGAUACCCGGGUAGUCCUAGCCGUAAACGAUGCCCGCUAGGUGUCACGACGGUCGUGAAUCGUCGUGGUGCCGUAGGGAAGCCGCGAAGCGGGCCACUUGGGAAGUACGGCCGCAAGGCUGAACUUAAAGGAAUUGGCGGGGGAG